GGCGCAGUGGCACAUUGGUUAGCACUGCUGCCUAACAAUAAGGUGGUUCCUGGUUCGAGCCCUGGCCGGCCA